rnacentral:tRNA from 1 species
CGGGGUAAAGCUUUUUUGAAGCAUUUUAGUUACAUUAAAUAGAAUACACUUUUUGGGUAUACCUUGA